rnacentral:rRNA from 1 species
CCUACGGGAGGCUGCAGUCGAGAAUCAUUCACAAUGGGGGAAACCCUGAUGGUGCGACGCCGCGUGGGGGAAUGAAGGUCUUCGGAUUGUAAACCCCUGUCAGGUGGGAGCAAAUUAAAAAGAUAGUACCACAAGAGGAAGAGACGGCUAACGCUGUCCCAGCAGCCGCGGUAAUACAGAGGUCUCGAGCGUUGUUCGGAAUCACUGGGCGGAAAGCGUGCGUAGGCUGUUUCGUAAGUCGUGUGUGAAAGGCGCGGGCUCAACCCGCGGACGGCACAUGAUACUGCGAGACUAGAGUAAUGGAGGGGGAAGCGGAAUUCUCGGUGUAGCAGUGAAAUGCGUAGAUAGCGAGAGGAACACUCGUGGCGAGGGCGGGUUCCUGGACAUUAACUGACGCUGAGGCACGAAGGCCAGGGGAGCGAAAGGGAUUAGAUACCCGGGUAGUC